rnacentral:lncRNA from 1 species
GCGCGACGCCGUGGCAGCACUGAUCGGUGACGUCGCGGCGCUGCGCGUUCGCCUGCUGCGUACGUGUUGUGUGUGCGUGUGUACGUGUGUUCGUGCGCGAAAACGAGGUGCCGGCGCAGCAAACGAAGAACGAAGGAUGGAUUUCUGCCGGAAAGAAAUCCACGUCGGUGAUGGGCUGCUCGCUAACGACUCGCGGAUCACGUCCGUCGACUUCUCAAUCUUCGACAGCGAGGGAAGAAACGGACCUGAAGUAAGACGCACGAGCGACUUCAGGAUGAACUAUGACGCGAAUUAUGUGCCAAAUCAUACACCAAGCGUGCGUUCAAGCAGCCAUUACCAUUCGACCAUCGUAGUUUGUGUGUAUAACGAAUCAUCGGACUCUGACGCCUGCUAAUGACGGAAUGAAUUAUGCAGUCCAGACUUCAGUUCGUUCGACAGAUUAUGGUUGCAUCCACAUGAUGUCAGUGCACAGCUAGAUAAAUACGCGAUCGGAUCUGCAGCAGAUUUUGCGCCGGUGCGUUCGAUGGGGAAUAGCGAUGAGUAUGCGAAUGACAAAAGUGCACUUGCACACCGCCUAACGACGGCCUGCAGCCGCAGGACGAGACGCAUCACGUAGCGACGCGGAGAGACACGGUAUAUGCCAACGAAGAUGACGCUACAGAAUGACGAGAACAUGCGUACUGCCGACGGUGCCUCGCACUUUACGCCUGGUCCUACCGGGAUUAAACGCCGUGGAGAAACAGAGAAAGAAGUAGGGACAAUGUGAGAGCCGGGGAAAAAGAGACGAAGAAGUACUCGAGGCAGCGUGGGCAGCCGCUAGCGCUGCAUUCCUGUAGGAUCAAGGAUCCCUAUACUUGGUUCGUGUGUGCAUUUACAUAUGCGGACACACAGUGUGAGGAGCUUUGACUUGCGACACGGACGCGUGUUCACGCACAUGCGUGCCACCGCCAGCUAUAGACGUAAACGUAUCACUCAUACAUGUGCGGUGACAUAAAGCUGUUCGCCUCUCACACCCCGGUCGUCAGUAUCGCAUACGGUUUCUUUUUUUCCAUUGCGCGAGUUCCAUGAGCGCAGGGAACAAAAGGCCGUAGGUUCCACCGCGUGUGAACACCGAAAUAAUGAUCUCGCGAAUUGAAUUCUUGAAGUGAGACGGUCUCGAAAUAAGAUUUCCUUCUACUUUCUUUUUUUAAUAAAAAUAACUUUGCACUUGUAAGUAAUUCGUACUAAAAGUCAAAAUAUAACGUUUUGUCUCAAACUUA